UUGACAUUUUUCACAUGCUGUCAAACCACACAUUAACUUUGUCACGCAGUGACAAACUGAUAAGGUAGACUUAUGGAGCUAAUCAACUCCGCUCAGCUGGUGCCACACCGGCAUACGCCCUGAGAGUUUUGCAACCUAAACAUCUAAAAACUGAAGCGCAACGUUGCUCUGUUUGGAACUGUGGGCUGAACUUUAUCAGAGCUGCUGAAGUUACCGUGUGGAUUUGUGUCCUCCAGCCUGGAAGAACUACCCUCUGAGCCGCCUUAACCUGCCUGCCUCGCUGGAGGCACACAGUCGGUAGCGACUCACUGCACCCCUGCCUGCCACGCCAAACUCACCACACCGACCAGCAACACAGAGGAUUUUCCCCUGCCCCUGCUCUGCCAAUGCUGAAGUUACUGUAGCUCAGUUAACAUUUUGGACUUUGAACAAAAUUGUGGACAAAUGUAGUGCUAAAAGGAUUGGCACUUCCUAAAAUGUAAAACUCUCUCGUUGCAGCUUUUAAACUGUAAGUGUUUGCUGCUUUACUGUUUAUCACCAUUGUAAGUUGGAUAUCUUUGAGUUUUGGGCUGUUGGUCAGAUACAACAAGUAAUUUGAAGACACCAGGAUAUCUAAUGAGCAGCAUUAGACUACUCGUCUAAUCAAUGAAUUAAAAGAAUAACAGAUUAUGUGAUGCAGCCCUAGACUGGUGUACUAUAAAUAAAUAUGUAUCAGUUUCA